rnacentral:rRNA from 1 species
UACAGAGGUGGCAAGCGUUGUUCGGAAUUACUGGGCGUUAAGGGCGCGUAGGCGGCCAUCUAAGUCAGACGUGAAAUCCCCCGGCUUAACCUGGGAACUGCGUCUGAUACUGGACGGCUUGAGUAUGGGAGAGGGAUGUAGAAUUCCAGGUGUAGCGGUGAAAUGCGUAGAUAUCUGGAGGAAUACCGGUGGCGAAGGCGGCAUCCUGGACCAUUACUGACGCUGAGGCGCGAAAGCUAGGGGAGCAAACGGG